rnacentral:rRNA from 1 species
UUGGAAACUGAUUUACUUGAGUGCGAUAGAGGCAAGUGGAACUCCAUGUGUAGCGGUGAAAAGCGUAGAUAUGUGGAAGAACACCAGUGGCGAAAGCGGCUUGCUAGAUCGUAACUGACGUUGAGGCUCGAAAGUAUGGGUAGCAAACGGGAUUAGAUACCCCGGUAGUCCAUACCGUAAACGAUGGGUGCUAGUUGUUAAGAGGUUUCCGCCUCCUAGUGACGUAGCAAACGCAUUAAGCACCCCGCCUGAGGAGUACGGCCGCAAGGCUAAAACUUAAAGGAAUUGACGGGGACCCGCACAAGCGG